UAGCUUGCUCUCGGGUGACGAGUGGCGGACGGGUGAGUAAUGUCUGGGAAACUGCCUGAUGGAGGGGGAUAACUACUGGAAACGGUAGCUAAUACCGCAUAAUGUCGCAAGACCAAAGAGGGGGACCUUCGGGCCUCUUGCCAUCAGAUGUGCCCAGAUGGGAUUAGCUAGUAGGUGGGGUAACGGCUCACCUAGGCGACGAUCCCUAGCUGGUCUGAGAGGAUGACCAGCCACACUGGAACUGAGACACGGUCCAGACUCCUACGGGAGGCAGCAGUGGGGAAUAUUGCACAAUGGGCGCAAGCCUGAUGCAGCCAUGCCGCGUGUAUGAAGAAGGCCUUCGGGUUGUAAAGUACUUUCAGCGGGGAGGAAGGUGUUGUGGUUAAUAACUGCAGCAAUUGACGUUACCCGCAGAAGAAGCACCGGCUAACUCCGUGCCAGCAGCCGCGGUAAUACGGAGGGUGCAAGCGUUAAUCGGAAUUACUGGGCGUAAAGCGCACGCAGGCGGUCUGUCAAGUCAGAUGUGAAAUCCCCGGGCUCAACCUGGGAACUGCAUUCGAAACUGGCAGGCUAGAGUCUUGUAGAGGGGGGUAGAAUUCCAGGUGUAGCGGUGAAAUGCGUAGAGAUCUGGAGGAAUACCGGUGGCGAAGGCGGCCCCCUGGACGAAGACUGACGCUCAGGUGCGAAAGCGUGGGGAGCAAACAGGAUUAGAUACCCUGGUAGUCCACGCCGUAAACGAUGUCGAUUUGGAGGUUGUGCCCUUGAGGCGUGGCUUCCGGAGCUAACGCGUUAAGUCGACCGCCUGGGGAGUACGGCCGCAAGGUUAAAACUCAAAUGAAUUGACGGGGGCCCGCACAAGCGGUGGAGCAUGUGGUUUAAUUCGAUGCAACGCGAAGAACCUUACCUGGUCUUGACAUCCACGGAAGUUUUCAGAGAUGAGAAUGUGCCUUCGGGAACCGUGAGACAGGUGCUGCAUGGCUGUCGUCAGCUCGUGUUGUGAAAUGUUGGGUUAAGUCCCGCAACGAGCGCAACCCUUAUCCUUUGUUGCCAGCGGUCCGGCCGGGAACUCAAAGGAGACUGCCAGUGAUAAACUGGAGGAAGGUGGGGAUGACGUCAAGUCAUCAUGGCCCUUACGACCAGGGCUACACACGUGCUACAAUGGCGCAUACAAAGAGAAGCGACCUCGCGAGAGCAAGCGGACCUCAUAAAGUGCGUCGUAGUCCGGAUUGGAGUCUGCAACUCGACUCCAUGAAGUCGGAAUCGCUAGUAAUCGUGGAUCAGAAUGCCACGGUGAAUACGUUCCCGGGCCUUGUACACACCGCCCGUCACACCAUGGGAGUGGGUGCAAAAGAAGUAGUG
rnacentral:rRNA from 1 species